GUGGCAAGAUGGUGGCGCGCAGGAGGAAGUGCGCCGCGCGGGACCCGGAGGACCGUAUCCCCAGCCCACUGGGCUACGCAGCCUCCAGACUGUUAAGAGAAGCUGUGAAGGCACAGGCAGUGGGAUCUGAGCUGGCAGGAGGGGCGGAGGUGAUGCUAAGGCUCUCCUGAGGAAGCGAGGUUUGAGCUAAACCUGAGCUAUUCCAAUCAAGUUCUCUGAAAAGCAACAGGCUUCUCACUACCUCUAUGUGAGAGCACACGGCGUUCGACAAGGCACCAAGUCCACCUGGCCUCAGAAGAGGACUCUUUUUGUCCUCAAUGUGCCCCCAUACUGCACAGAGGAGAGCCUGUCCCGCCUCCUGUCCACCUGUGGCCUCGUCCAGUCUGUAGAGUUGCAGGAGAAGCCGGACCUGGCUGAGAGCCCAAAGGAGUCAAGGUCGAAGUUUUUUCAUCCCAAGCCAGUUCCGGGUUUCCAGGUAGCCUAUGUGGUGUUCCAGAAGCCAAGUGGGGUGUCAGCGGCCUUGGCCCUGAAGGGCCCCCUGCUGGUGUCCACAGAGAGCCACCCUGUGAAGAGUGGCAUUCACAAGUGGAUCAGUGACUACGCAGACUCUGUGCCCGACCCUGAGGCCCUGAGGGUGGAAGUGGACACGUUCAUGGAGGCAUAUGACCAGAAGAUCGCUGAGGUAGA
rnacentral:lncRNA from 1 species